rnacentral:rRNA from 1 species
UACGUAGGGUGCAAGCGUUGUCCGGAAUUAUUGGGCGUAAAGAGCUCGUAGGCGGUCCGUCACGUCGGCUGUGAAAACCCGGGGCUCAACUCCGGGCCUGCAGUCGAUACGGGCGGACUAGAGUACUGCAGGGGAGACUGGAAUUCCUGGUGUAGCGGUGAAAUGCGCAGAUAUCAGGAGGAACACCGGUGGCGAAGGCGGGUCUCUGGGCCGUAACUGACG